ACGCACAUAGACAUACAAAGAAACACAAGAUUUUUGAAGGGAAUGACUAUUGAAUAGUUUUUUUUCCCCAUCAAACAAGCAAAAGAUGAGCUACCUAAAAUUUAAAAAAAUUCAAAAGGUGGAUUGUGAGAGGGCAAUUCUACUAGUAGUUGGUUAUGCUCAUAUCAAAAGUUCAUUUACCAUGUGAUGCUAAAGGACUAGUGUUAAACCCCUGCUAGUGGCUUACAUGGGUUGGCAUGGACUGAUGUCUUUGCUGUCCCAACCU
rnacentral:lncRNA from 1 species